rnacentral:rRNA from 1 species
AUGGGGAGGGGGAAGAUUGCGAUUGAGAGGAUCGACAACACAACGAACCGUCAGGUGACCUUCUCCAAGCGGCGCGGAGGGCUGAUGAAGAAGGCCCGGGAGCUUGCCAUCCUCUGUGACGCCGAUCUCGCACUCAUCGUCUUCUCCAGCACGGGUCGCCUCUAUGACUUCGCGAGCUCCAGUGGAAUGGAGGCAAUACUAGAGCGGUACCAGGAGGCAAAAGAGGAGCACUGCGGAGUGUUGAAUCCAACAUCUGAGGCAAAGUUAUGGCAGAGGGAGGUUACAACCUUGAGGCAGCAAGUGCAAAACUUACACUACAAUAAUAGGCAAUUGUUGGGAGAGGAGCUAUCUGGUACCAGUGUUCGAGAUCUGCAGUUUCUGGUGAACCAGGUUGAGAUGAGCUUGCAUUCCAUAAGAAAGAGGAAGGAGCAAGUUAUGGCUGCGGAGAUCCACGAACUCAACCAAAAGGGAUUGCUUGUUCAGAAGGAAAAUAUCGAACUUGACAAGAAGUUGAGUAUUGCUCAUGAGCAGAACAUAGAGCUGCGGAAGCAGCUUUCCGCGGCCAUGAAAUCGAGUGAGCAGCAAGCCAGCGGAAGCAGCUCAAAAGCUGCUGCCGGAUUAUUGUUGUCUACUAGAGUACGUGAACCAAAUAUUGACCUUGAGUUGCGCCAGCAGGAGCAUGAGGAUGAAUAA